UUGAGCAUGGUAUCUUUUGAUAAUUCCGUACAAACACUAAUCUCCAACAUCUAUUUUUUUUCGAAUACUGCUCAACGUGUUUCGCAUUCCAUACGAGGAUUCAUCGAGGAAAAGCUAUCCCCUUACGUGACACGACACGACGUGACUGCGCUUAAUAUGGCGUUUCUUCUAGUCUCAACAGUUCCGCUUGUUUUUUAGAUAAGAACUCUUUGGAACAUUGCUCAUAGCAAGGAUUUAUUUUGUAAUUCUAUAUAAUGCAUUUACACAACUCUAAUAAUUUCUCCUCCAGGGUAUUCAUCUCCUCAAUGGACUCCACUGUGCAAAAGGUUGGCGAUGGGGUUUUAUCUGUGAGGCUCAAGCAGGUGUUUUGAUUCGCACAAAAGU